rnacentral:lncRNA from 1 species
UCUUCUUUUAUUUACUGUCCUAAGCAACAGUAUUGCUUGUCCUCAUUUUCUUAUUGCAGAGUCCUUUGAGGAUAAAGCUGUAGACCACACCUGCCUGGUAACUUUCCCACCAAAAGAGUCUACCAGUUUUCGACUUGGAUUAUUCUUCUCAGCGUGACCAUAAAGCAGACAUGGACUGUUUUGCAGCUCCAUUGCGCAGAGUCACUGUGAUGUGUCAUAGAAUCAUAGAAUGGCCUGGGUUGAAAAGAACCACAAUGAUCAUCUAGCUUCAACCCCCCUGCUAUGUGGUCUUCCUUGAGUGAAUGUUCCUGCAGAUGGUAAAGAGGCUGUAGAAGAACUUUGGCUGCAAGGGAAAUUGUGUAGUCAAGUGACUACGCUCAGAAUAUCUGUAAAGCAACACACAAGGUUGUUGGCUCACUUGGAGAGGCUGAUUCUGGAAGGGAAUCUGGGGAGUUGAACAACAGCUAUUGCUCAAAAGAGCAAGAGUUUUGAUGUACAAGCAGAUAACCAGUAAAAAGGCAUUUCUACAGACAAUUCAGAAACGCUUUCCAGAUUCAGUGGGAUACAUUCUGGCAGGUCAUUAAGAAAACAAGAAGCUCUUUGUGCUGCUGGUCAGGUCAGAGGAUUGCACUGGUAAGUAAGCAUGUGGAGCAGCAUCAAAGCUUUGAAUACUUUGGGAUCUAUGAAUGCCCAAUGGCCAUGCUCUAAGCACAUGCAGUUCUGACUCAGGUCUUUUUAUCUGAUGUGAUUAAGUUUAUCAUCAAGUUUAUGAUCCAGAUUAUGCCAGUAUUUUAGAAGCAAUAUAAGUGUCUCUCUG